CGUAAACGAUGAGUACUAGCUGUCGGAGGUUACCCCCUUCGGUGGCGCAGUUAACGCAUUAAGUGCUCCGCCUGGGGAGUACGUUCGCAAGAAUAAAACUCAAAGGAAUUGACGGGGACCCGCACAAGCAGCGGAGCAUGUGGUUUAAUUCGAAGCAACGCGAAGAACCUUACCAGGGCUUGACAUCCUGCUGAAAGACCGGGUAACGCCGGUCCCUCUUCGGACAGCAGUGACAGGUGGUGCAUGGUUGUCGUCAGCUCGUGUCGUGAGAUGUUGGGUUAAGUCCCGCAACGAGCGCAACCCUUGCCAUUAGUUGCCAGCAUUCAGUUGGGCACUCUAAUGGGACUGCCGGGGACAACUCGGAGGAAGGUGGGGAUGACGUCAAAUCAUCAUGCCCCUUAUGUUCUGGGCUACACACGUGCUACAAUGGUCGGUACAACGAGAGGCAAGAUCGUGAGAUGGAGCAAAUCUUCAAAACCGGCCCCAGUUCGGAUUGCAGGCUGCAACUCGCCUGCAUGAA
rnacentral:rRNA from 1 species